rnacentral:rRNA from 1 species
ACUCCUACGGGAGGCAGCAGUGGGGAAUUUUGGACAAUGGGCGAAAGCCUGAUCCAGCCAUGCCGCGUGAGUGAAGAAGGCCUUCGGGUUGUAAAGCUCUUUUAGUCGGAAAGAAAGAGUCGCAAUGAAUAAUUGUGAUUUAUGACGGUACCGACAGAAAAAGCACCGGCUAACUACGUGCCAGCAGCCGCGGUAAUACGUAGGGUGCGAGCGUUAAUCGGAAUUACUGGGCGUAAAGGGUGCGCAGGCGGUUUUGCAAGUCAGAUGUGAAAGCCCCGGGCUUAACCUGGGAAUUGCGUUUGAAACUACAAGGCUAGAGUGCAGCAGAGGGGAGUGGAAUUCCAUGUGUAGCAGUGAAAUGCGUAGAGAUGUGGAGGAACACCGAUGGCGAAGGCAGCUCCCUGGGUUGACACUGACGCUCAUGCACGAAAGCGUGGGGAGCGAACAGGAUUAGAUACCCUGGUAGUC